GCCUCCUUAGCUCAGCUGGUAGAGCAGUGGACUCUUAAUCCAUGGGUCGCAGGUUCGAGCCCUGCAGGGGGCA
rnacentral:tRNA from 1 species